rnacentral:rRNA from 1 species
UUCGAGUGGCGGACGGGUGAGUAACGCGUGGGUAACUUGCCUUACACAGGGGGAUAACACCUGGAAACAGGUGCUAAUACCGCAUAAGCGCACAGGGCCGCAUGGCCCGGUGUGAAAAACUCCGGUGGUGUAAGAUGGACCCGCGUCUGAUUAGCUUGUUGGCGGGGUAGGGGCCCACCAAGGCGACGAUCAGUAGCCGGCCUGAGAGGGUGGACGGCCACAUUGGGACUGAGACACGGCCCAAACUCCUACGGAAGGCAGCAG